CCUGGUGGCCAUAGCGGGGACCCUGCACCCGAUCCCAUUCCGAACUCGGCCGUGAAAUGCCCCAGCGCCAAUGGUACUUCGUCUCAAGACGCGGGAGAGUAGGUCACCGCCAGGC
rfam:Methylobrevis pamukkalensis strain PK2 A6302_contig000295, whole genome shotgun sequence.